UAGAUUAAAGCCUGUUAAUUAGGUAUUUAGCUGUUAACUAAAAGAUCGUAGGGUAAUAUCCUACUAAUCUAG
rnacentral:tRNA from 1 species